rnacentral:rRNA from 1 species
UACGUAGGGUCCGAGCGUUGUCCGGAAUUAUUGGGCGUAAAGGGCUCGUAGGCGGUCUGUUGCGUCGGGCGUGAAAACUUACAGCUUAACUGUGAGCGUGCUUUCGAUACGGGCAGACUUGAGGCAUUCAGGGGAGAACGGAAUUCCUGGUGUAGCGGUGAAAUGCGCAGAUAUCAGGAGGAACACCGGUGGCGAAGGCGACUGUCUGGGGUAUUGCUGACGCUGAGGCACGAAAGCCAGGGGAGCGAACGGG